GACGAACGCUGGCGGCGUGCCUAAUACAUGCAAGUUGAGCGCUGAAGGUUGGUACUUGUACCGACUGGAUGAGCAGCGAACGGGUGAGUAACGCGUGGGGAAUCUGCCUUUGAGCGGGGGACAACAUUUGGAAACGAAUGCUAAUACCGCAUAAAAACUUUAAACACAAGUUUUAAGUUUGAAAGAUGCAAUUGCAUCACUCAAAGAUGAUCCCGCGUUGUAUUAGCUAGUUGGUGAGGUAAAGGCUCACCAAGGCGAUGAUACAUAGCCGACCUGAGAGGGUGAUCGGCCACAUUGGGACUGAGACACGGCCCAAACUCCUACGGGAGGCAGCAGUAGGGAAUCUUCGGCAAUGGACGAAAGUCUGACCGAGCAACGCCGCGUGAGUGAAGAAGGUUUUCGGAUCGUAAAACUCUGUUGGUAGAGAAGAACGUUGGUGAGAGUGGAAAGCUCAUCAAGUGACGGUAACUACCCAGAAAGGGACGGCGUAACUACGUGCCAGCAGCCGCGGUAAUC
rnacentral:rRNA from 1 species